rnacentral:rRNA from 1 species
AUGGGCGGAAGCCUGAUGCAGCAACGCCGCGUGCGGGAUGACGGCCUUCGGGUUGUAAACCGCUUUCACCCAUGACGAAGCACGAGUGACGGUAGUGGGGGAAGAAGCACCGGCCAACUACGUGCCAGCAGCCGCGGUGAUACGUAGGGUGCGAGCGUUGUCCGGAGAUUAUUGGGCGUAAAGAGCUUGUAGGCGGUUGAUCGCGUCGAUAGUGAAAUCCCGGGGCUCAACCUCGGGCUUGCUGUCGAUACGGGUUGACUUGGGGAAGGUAGGGGAGAAUGGAACUCCCGGUGGAGCGGUGGAAUGCGCAGAUAUCGGGAAGAACACCGGUGGCGAAGGCGGUUCUCUGGACCUUUCCUGACGCUGAGAAGCGAAAGCGUGGGGAGCAAACAGGCUUAGAUACCCUGGUAGUCCACGCUGUAAACGGUGGGUACUAGGUGUGGGUCGCAUUCCACGUGAUCCGUGCCGUAGCCAACGCAUUAAGUACCCCGCCUGGGGAGUACGGCCGCAAGGCUAAAACUCAAAGGAAUUGACGGGGCCCCGCACAAGCGGCGGAGCAUGCGGAUUAAUUCGAUGCAACGCGAAGAACCUUACCUGGGUUUGACAUGUACUGGAAGCGCUCAGAGAUGG